GAUUCGAACGUGUUCGAGCCUGUAUCACACAACGGCGGUCGCUAUAACGUGUAAUUAGGAUGGGAAGAACACCAAGAAAUGAAAAUAGUCGAGACACCUGACGCGAUAACGAUAAAAAAAAGUGUCGCGAUAUUAUUCUUUGCGUGUAGAAUUACUUAACUCGGCCGCAUAAUCGUCCGCUUGACCUUGAUCUUCGCGACGCGUCACAACACUUUUUCGUGAGGCACGGGAAAGAUGGCCGUUAAAAUUUUAGCACAGACACCACACAGAACGCGAACCAUGGCGGAUUAAUUUGCAAUCAUGUUAAAAAAAAGCGUUCGCGGGAGCGAGUGUUUAUUUGUUUCGAGACGUAGGUAUAUUUUUAGAGAUAAUUCGGUGCCAUUAAGUACAUGCGUUACGACGCGGUCGUAUUGUAAUCAGUAGCGUAGAAGCAGCGCGACUAAAAAGUUAUCGUCGAUUUUCGGAAAAAAUCCGCUUUUGUUUAUCGCGGGCUUUGUUUAACGUAGUUUGGCGUGCGCCUAUCGUCACGGCCGAUAUCUUUGAGUUGUCGACGAAGGUCUAGUUUAGAUUCGUCAUGUGGAGUUGUACACGGUGACACAAGUUAUAUGGACAAAUUGGAAGGCAUUUAAGUAAAAUUUUUACACCGACAAUUUCUUCAUGGAUUAAUUGCUGAAGUUGGUUAACGAACAUAUUUGACGAGUGUAAUACCCCACUUUGAUAUCGAAUUCUCGUCUAACAAAUUCGCGAAGUUCUUCGUCAAUUUUUGCGUCAAUUCGUCAAAAAGAAAGGUUAUGUUACUGUAAAUUAAUAAACGAGUACCUCUGAAUUGUAUCAAAGACUUUACGUAACUUUGCUUAGUAAGUGGGGCUGGUGCAGUUGAACUAAACCUUCUUUAUAUAAUGCUUCUGGACAGACGAAAUCCAGUGAGAGCAAGUUUCACGCAUCUGCGCUAAAUUCCAAGCACGCAAAUGAAAAAAGCAGAAUAAAAUACAAACUUCAUGGAUGCUUUUUUGCAAUUUUAAAGUUAAACAAUAUAAUCAUUUGUAAUUUGAAGAACUGUGGGUGCCGAUACUUAGAAGACGAAUCUUGGAUAUUAUUUACCAAGCCCGGGAAGAGGAAUUGAAGAUGGAUACCGAUCUAUGCAAAUAUAAUGAUGUGUGUGUGUGUGUGUUGUAAAUAAAAAAGAACUGGAAAGUUGGGCCAUUUAUAUCUUUUUAAUUUUAUACAAAAGAAACACCACCUUUUGAUAUUGAAAUAAAACCUACUCAAAAAAAAAUACAGUUUUUUUGUUUUGUAAAGAAUUAAAAACUGUUAAUUCUGGGGUUCUUUUAAAUAAUAAGAACUUCUAUAUAUCAAUAGUGUUAGUCCAUUUAUUUAUCAAAGCUUUCAUUUGACAUCCUCAAUAACUAUUUAAACUGUUCAGGGUCCUUUUUAAACUCUUGUUUCAUCAAUUUAUCUUCCAACCAAGACCGGACCCACCUCCUUUUUUUGAUGUAAGUUAGCAAAAAAAAUAGGUUAUAUAACAGUUUGUAAUUUGUAAAACUGUGGGUGCCGACACUUAGAAGACUAAUCUUGGAUAUUAUUUACCAAGCCCGGGAAGAGGAGUUGACCUAUGCAAAUGUAAUGGUGUAUGUGUGUGGUGUAAAUAAAAAAGAACUGGAAAG